rnacentral:tRNA from 1 species
GGCCCGUUGGUCAAGUGGUUAAGACAUCGCCCUUUCACGGCGGUAUCAGGGGUUCGAAUCCCCUACGGGUCAC